CGGGGGGUCUUAGCGGUCCGCCUAUGGUGAGUACUGCUAUAGCCUUCCUUACUGUCGGGGACCUGCUUCUGGGCUUCACUGUCCGGGACAGGGAUUCGGCAUGGUUACUUUGAGUAAAUUAGAGUGUUCAAAGCAGGCUUACGCCGUGAAUACUUUAGCAUGGAAUAACAUAAUAGGACUCUGCCCUAUUCUGUUGGCCUGUAGGAGUGGAGUAAUGAUUAAGAGGAACAGUCGGGGGCAUUCGUAUUUCAUUGUCAGAGGUGAAAUUCUUGGAUUUAUGAAAGACGAACUACUGCGAAAGCAUUUGCCAAGGAUGUUUUCAUUAAUCAAGAACGAAAGUUGGGGGCUCGAAGACGAUUAGAUACCGUCGUAGUCUCAACCAUAAACGAUGCCGACUAGGGAUUGGCGGACGUUUUUGCAUGACUCCGUCAGCACCUUGAGAGAAAUCAAAGUUUUUGGGUUCCGGGGGGAGUAUGGUCGCAAG
rnacentral:rRNA from 1 species